rnacentral:ncRNA from 1 species
UCGACGAAAGGGCAAAAUCAUUGAAAAGUGAUGACGCAAAGCUAUAGGGGCUUAGGGGUAACGAAGAUUGAUUUUUUCUACAUGAUAGCAAAAGUUAUGACAUUCAUUACGCUUGCCAGCCAGUUACCGAA